rnacentral:rRNA from 1 species
GACGAACGCUGGCGGCAUGCCUAACACACGCAAGUCGAGCGAGCAGAUCCCUUCGGGGUGAAGCUAGCGGCGGACGGGUGAGUAACACGUGGGCAACCUGCCUCAUAGAGGGGAAUAGCCUUCCGAAAGGAAGAUUAAUACCGCAUAAGAUUGUAGCUUCGCAUGAAGUAGCAAUUAAAGGAGCAAUCCACUAUGAGAUGGGCCCGCGGCGCAUUAGCUAGUUGGUGAGGUAACGGCUCACCAAGGCGACGAUGCGUAGCCGACCUGAGAGGGUGAUCGGCCACAUUGGGACUGAGACACGGCCCAGACUCCUACGGGAGGCAGCAGUGGGGAAUAUUGCACAAUGGGGGAAACCCUGAUGCAGCAAUGCCGCGUGAGUGAUGGCGGCCUUCGGGUUGUAAAGCUCUGUCUUCGGGGACGAUAAUGACGGUACCCGAGGAGGAAGCCACGGCUAACUACGUGCCAGCAGCCGCCGUAA